rnacentral:tRNA from 1 species
GUCCCCUAGCGCAAUGGGUAGCGCGUUGGACUUUUAAUCCAAAGGUCGUGGGUUCCAAUACCACCUGUGAUG